rnacentral:rRNA from 1 species
CCCUUAGAUGUCCUGGUCCGCACGCGCGCUACACUGAGUGUCUGAGAUACGAGUCUGCCUGGUCCGGCAAGGUCUAGGUAAUCGCUAAAAGACACAUCAUGCUUGGGAUAGAUUAUUGCAAAUAUUAAUCUUGAACGAGGAAUUCCUAGUAAGCGCAAGUCAACAGCUUGCGUUGAUUACGUCCCUGCCCUUUGUACACACCGCCCGUCGCUACUACUGAUUGGAUGUUUAAGCGAGGUUCUCGAACUGCUAGCGACUUAGCUUCGGUGAGGUCGCAGUGUGGGAAGUGAACCUAGCUUUGGUGUCUAGAGGAAGUAAAAGUCGUAACA